rnacentral:rRNA from 1 species
AGAGUUUGAUCCUGGCUCAGGAUGAACGCUAAGGCCUAACACAUGUAGAUGGCCGGGUCAAGGCAUGCAAGUCGAGAGGGUUUAGACCCUCGGCGAACGAGGUAGUAACACGUAGGAAUCUACCCUCAAGUCGGGAAUAACCCGCCGAAAGGCGGAAUAAUGCUCGAUCGUCUCUUAGGAGUAAAGAUUUAUUGCUUGAGGAAGAGCCUGCGGGAUAUCAGCUAGUUGGUAGGGUAAUGGCCUACCAAGGCAAUGACGUCUAGGGGAGGUGAGAGCCUGGCCCCCACCGAUGGGACUGAGACACGGCCCAUACACCUACGGGUGGCUGCAGUCGAGAAUCUUCCGCAAUGGGCGAAAGCCUGACGGAGCGACGCCGCGUGGUGGAUGAAGUCCUUCGGGACGUAAACACCUUUUAUGAGGGAGGAAGCUGCGUUGAGCAGAUUGACGGUACCUCAUGAAUAAGGACCUGCUAAACUCGUGCCAGCAGCAGCGGUAAUACGAGUGGUCCAAGCAUUAUCCGGAAUUACUGGGCGUAAAGGGUGUGUAGGUGGUCCUGUAAGUCGGGUUUGAAGUUCUCUCGGCUUAACCGGGAAAAUGCGAAAGAAACGGCGGGACUAGAGGGUGCGAGAGGUAUACAGAACUCAUGGUGUAGGGGUGAAAUCCGUUGAUAUCAUGGGGAAUACCAAAGGCGAAGGCAGUAUACUGGCGCACACCUGACACUGAGACACGAAGGCGUGGGUAGCGAACGGGAUUAGAUACCCCGGUAGUCCACGCCCUAAACGAUCUUCUCUAGCUUCUCGGAGUAUCGACCCUCUGAGUGGCGAAGCUAACGCGUUAAGAGAAGCGCCUGGGAAGUACGACCGCAAGGUUAAAACUCAAAGGAAUUGACGGGGACUCGCACAGCGGUGGAUCAUGUGGUUUAUUCGACGCUAACGAAGA